rnacentral:rRNA from 1 species
CAGGUGCUGCAUGGCUGUCGUCAGCUCGUGUUGUGAAAUGUUGGGUUAAGUCCCGCAACGAGCGCAACCCUUAUCCUUUGUUGCCAGCGGUCCGGCCGGGAACUCAAAGGAGACUGCCAGUGAUAAACUGGAGGAAGGUGGGGAUGACGUCAAGUCAUCAUGGCCCUUACGACCAGGGCUACACACGUGCUACAAUGGCGCAUACAAAGAGAAGCGACCUCGCGAGAGCAAGCGGACCUCAUAAAGUGCGUCGUAGUCCGGAUUGGAGUCUGCAACUCGACUCCAUGAAGUCGGAAUCGCUAGUAAUCGUGGAUCAGAAUGCCACGGUGAAUACGUUCCCGGGCCUUGUACACACCGCCCGUCACACCAUGGGAGUGAGUUGCAAAAGAAGUAGGUAGCUUAACC